rnacentral:lncRNA from 1 species
GCACAUUCACAUCUAUACAAGUUAUGUUUUGUCAAUAUGUCUCUGUGCAUAUUAGAUGUGUAUUGCAUGUGUGUAAUUCUGUUGCAGACUGAGGCAGCUUCACAGAGGUUGAAGAUUAACUAGUCACAGUUUGUAAUUAGAUUUGAAGGAUCUGAUAACCUUUGAGUUUGAUCAAACAUGGAUGCUGAGCUAUUUACAAUCUGUUUGAUAUUGUCUGCAGACUUCACUAACAUAUCAUAAAAAAGAUAAGAAGAACUUUAUUGAUCCCAGAAGGGAGAUUCAACAUGUGCACAGCUUUGAAGGGUUACAAUUAAAUCUAUUUAUCUCACUGUGAUUGAGUUUUAUUUGUGUUUAGUUUUUUGUGAACCUGUACUCUUUUGAGUGGUUUUGAACCGCAAUAGAUUUAUUUUGAAUGUGUAUACCCCCUACAUUUUGCAUUGCAUCAAGUACUGAGUAAAAACAAAAACACUACACUGCAAAAAUAUCAAAUCACACCAAGUGAAUUUAUCUGAAUUCUAGUCAAAAUACUGCACUAUACUUAAUUGAAGACAAGAACAUUGAGACGCUCCCUCAAAUGAGCAGUUAUUGCUAUCAUAAUGAUCCUCUGCACAGCCAGUCAGGACUCUUUUGUAGAAGGACCAUACAAAAUGCAAAAGAGACACUGUAAAAAUAUUUCAUAACUUCACCUUAGAGGGAUGCAGAAUCAAAAGCCAUUUCACAGAGUAAUAUUUUCAGUUUUAUUUCAACUAUUAACUUGAUUAUUGUGCUUUUGCAUAUCCGAAAGGGAAUAUUUUUACGAUCCCCAACCCCACCAGCAUGAGUUAAUGGUAUAUACUCAGGACCUGAAGAACAUUUCAAGUACAGUAAGGUUUCCCUUGGGUAAAAUAAGAGGCUGGUAGUUUUAUUUCUACUUGAGUAAAAUGUAAUCAGAGUAACUGUACUUUCGAUACUCCUCUCAUUUCUACACCUCCCUGAAAACACUAAAACAUACAAAUUAACAAAUAAGUGACACUGUGAUUCACCUUCUUGAUUUCUUAACCCUUUAAUGCCUAAAACCACAAAUUAUGGCCAGAAAAUUCAAAAUUUUUGGGAGCUGAAAUGUUUAUUUCACUUACUACUGAAAACCAGAGGACAUUUUUAACAUUUAUCGGACUGUAUUCAGGUGUUUUUUAGUAAUUUGUUGAUCAUAUUGAUUUGAUAGAAGUAAAUAAAAGUAUGUAUCAAAUAUGAUACAAAAGGCAAUAAAGGGACCAUGGCUGAGGAAUACAGCCUUACAUGGGGUGCACGCUAAAACUGCUAUGCCACUGAUGUCCUUAUUUGAAUACAAAGAAAACAAACAAUAAUUAUGUUGAUCUAAAACAUCCACAAACUAGUGACAAGGUUGCCCUAUGUCCUGCAUUGUCAAUCCCCAGAAGAGGUGGGCAUGGACAAUCUUCAGAGCCCCUGAAAUCGCAUAAUGUUCAAAGUUUUCCCUGGGCACAAGAUAACCUAUCAACACAAGAUAACUCUUUGUGCAUAAGUAAAAGUAGAGGAAAUGUAAACCACCUUGUGAACACAAGUAAUUAAAUUGUAGGUAUAAAACAAGUUUUUGUCUGAAUGAGUUAUUUAUCAAGUUUGCGCAGGUUUAUUAUCUUGUGCAUAUCAUUGAACUAUUUUGCACACACAUACAUAAAACAACUUAUGUGACAUCGGAGCCUGGGGGGAUUUCUUUUCAGAGGGUUCAAGCUGUGGGAACAAGUUAUUUUCUAGUGCACACAAGAUUGUGCACAGUAGAGAGAGGCAGGUUGAUAUCUUUGUAUGCAAGUUAAUCUGUGGUGUCCACAAGUUUAAGGUUUUAUGCACACAAGUGAUCCUCGUCUGCACACAGGGUAAGUUUCUCAAAUACAUUUUUGUCAUGUGAGCACAAGAUACUCUGUGUGCAUUUAUCAACCUUCAUAAGCAUGUCAUAUAUUUUUGAGAGUAGUUUAUCAUUUCAUACUUCCAAGGUAUCAUUUAACCAACACAAGAAGUUAUUUAUGAAGGAAUCAUUUUUAUCUUGGAGACAAAUUAAUAAUCUUUGUGCAUGAGUUUUAAACCUGUAGGAGUGGGAGUAAUUCCACUUGUCAUCAAGAAAACUGAGUUUUGCACAUUUACUAGUGUGAACAAGAUAUUUACCUAAACACACAUGAGAACUAUCUUCAGUGUAUGUGCAAGUUUGUGUCAUACAGGCCACUAUCCACAACACUGUAGAAAUAUUUACUUUAGGGCUCCAUCAUGCUGUUGAUUCCAAAAAUAACAGAAUCAGAUCAGCUCUCUAUCACAUUGAUAAAGCAAAAAAGUUAUUAUAGGAAUGAAAAUCUGUCUAUCAGCAUUAUGAUUAGUUUUUAUGUGGCAGCAGAGUCCUUGUUGGAGAUUUUCUGGGCACAGGAUGUUGUUUCAGAGACCUGCUGUUGGUGUUCAGAGAAUUACUCAGCAGCUCAGGAGGUUCAAAGAUGUCUACAGCUGUUUAAUAUUUUACCACUCAGGUUAUACAUUAUACCGGCUGUGAUUAAAUCAGAUUCCUUAAUACACAACUACAGUAUGUACACAUUUGUCAUGUGGGGGGAUGCUGGAUCAGUUAAAUCAUUGCUGAAAGUAGACAUCAGGUCUGCAGUAAAUCUGAUCUUAGUGCUCACUAACGUUCACCCAGAGGCCUAAUAUGUGGACUUUACACGUUGUGUCAGUCACAUCUCAUUCCUCAUUCUGCCUCAUUUCAUCUGCAAACACUUUCAGUGCUGUCCUGCAGAAAUAAAUGCAACAUGCAGCCGUGUGAAGACAAGAUGGCAGCUUCCUGAGCCAACUGAUGCUGCAAACCGUCCUCAGACAGAAGCGAACAGACUCAAAACCACAUUGUAGGAUACUCUUUGAAGUGUGUGUUUAUAGAUGUUAGGUAAAGCUGGAAAACAGAACAAGUUAUUGAUUGCAUGAGAAGAAAAGAAUUGAAUUUGAUAGGGGUGAAUAAAAAAAAAAUCACAAAGCUUUGAGAUGAGCACCUUUUAUUUUUGCAGAGAGAAAAAAAUUAAGAGUCAAAUGAUCACCUUUGAGAACUUUUUUUAAUGAAAACUUUUUACUGAUUGAAACAGCCUGAUGCGUUUCCCCUCUGAUCAUCUCUGAAGGAUGGAGCGGGUAGACAGGUGUGGCCUGCAUAAAGAGCUGCAUUUGCUACCUCUCUGCACUCCUUCAGUCUCUCUGAGUUCAGUAAUCAGAGCUGACAGGGGUGUUUUCUCUGUUUGGUUCAGACAAAGAUGUUGCAGAUAAAGCAGAGGUCAGAUUUCUCUCACUCAGGUCAGUGGGAUGUUGAGACACAAACAAGGAUCUGUAACAGACAUCACUACCACCCCAAUCUGUCCCUGCAAGACUUCCCAGGUGGGAAAACACCUGCAGGCUGUGAGACACCAUUAACGAAACAUGCCAUAACAAAUACAGAUUGCAAAACACACACAGUCUAAUGAUCAAGCCCUCAGUCUCACCUCAUAUAAAGGUCAUAUACAUUGCGUUGAUUUUCCUCUAGUCUCUUACUUUUUAAAUAUUGUAGUUUUUUUUUUAAACGCAACGUAUUUUAAUUCAAAGUAAUCAAUAAACCAAUCUUUGAAACUUAAAACUUGAGCAAAUUUUAGUUAAACGAACACAUUGCUAGGAUAUCGAAGCAUAAAAUACAGAAUAAAUAUAAAGGAUCACCAACAGUCCAAAGGGAUGUCUUCAUGUCCUUCUUUUGUUAAACCAACCGGUAUGUCUUCACCUUUAGAUGACAAAAGCAGGGUUAAAAAACUGCGGGGGAAAAUUACUUUAAAAAGGCCACGAUUUCUCUUUUAUCA